rnacentral:piRNA from 1 species
UAAGCAGCAGAAUGUUGGGUCCUGUUUGUGUAGCCAGU